UACGUAGGGACCAAGCGUUGUUCGGAUUUACUGGGCGUAAAGGGCGCGUAGGCGGCGCGGUAAGUCACUUGUGAAAUCUCUGAGCUUAACUCAGAACGGCCAAGUGAUACUGCAGUGCUAGAGUGUGGAAGGGGCAAUCGGAAUUCUUGGUGUAGCGGUGAAAUGCGUAGAUAUCUGGAGGAACACCGGUGGCGAAGGCGGCAUCCUGGACCGGUAUUGACGCUGAGGCGCGAAAGCCAGGGGAGCAAACGGG
rnacentral:rRNA from 1 species